rnacentral:rRNA from 1 species
ACGGGUGAGUAAUACAUCGGAACGUGCCCUGUAGUGGGGGAUAACUAGUCGAAAGGUUAGCUAAUACCGCAUACGACCUGAGGGUGAAAGUGGGGGACCGCAAGGCCUCAUGCUAUAGGAGCGGCCGAUGUCUGAUUAGCUAGUUGGUGGGGUAAAGGCCCACCAAGGCGACGAUCAGUAGCUGGUCUGAGAGGACGAUCAGCCACACUGGGACUGAGACACGGCCCAGACUCCUACGGGAGGCAGCAGUGGGGAAUUUUGGACAGUGGGGGCAACCCUGAUCCAGCAAUACCGCGUGUGUGAAGAAGGCCUUCGGGUUGUAAAGCACUUUUGUCCGGAAAGAAAUCGCACUUACUAAUAUUAGGUGUGGAUGACGGUACCGGAAGAAUAAGGACCGGCUAACUACGUGCCAGCAGCCGCGGUAAUACGUAGGGUCCAAGCGUUAAUCGGAAUUACUGGGCGUAAAGCGUGCGCAGGCGGUUGUGCAAGACCGAUGUGAAAUCCCCGGGCUUAACCUGGGAAUUGCAUUGGUGACUGCACGGCUAGAGUGUGUCAGAGGGGGGUAGAAUUCCACGU